UGGGGAAUAUUGGACAAUGGGCGAAAGCCUGAUCCAGCCAUGCCGCGUGUGUGAAGAAGGUCUUCGGAUUGUAAAGCACUUUAAGUUGGGAGGAAGGGCAGUAAGCGAAUACCUUGCUGUUUUGACGUUACCGACAGAAUAAGCACCGGCUAACUCUGUGCCAGCAGCCGCGGUAAUACAGAGGGUGCAAGCGUUAAUCGGAAUUACUGGGCGUAAAGCGCGCGUAGGUGGUUCGUUAAGUUGAAUGUGAAAGCCCCGGGCUCAACCUGGGAACUGCAUGCAAAACUGGCGAGCUAGAGUAGGGCAGGGGGUGGUGGAAUUUCCUGUGUAGCGGUGAAAUGCGUAGAUAUAGGAAGGAACACCAGUGGCGAAGGCGACCACCUGGGCGGAUACUGACACUGAGGUGCGAGAGAGUGGGGAGCAAACAGG
rnacentral:rRNA from 1 species